rnacentral:rRNA from 1 species
UCUUGAGAGCGGCGGACGGGUGAGUAAUGCCUAGGAAUCUGCCUGGUAGUGGGGGAUAACGUCCGGAAACGGACGCUAAUACCGCAUACGUCCUACGGGAGAAAGCAGGGGACCUUCGGGCCUUGCGCUAUCAGAUGAGCCUAGGUCGGAUUAGCUAGUUGGUGAGGUAAUGGCUCACCAAGGCGACGAUCCGUAACUGGUCUGAGAGGAUGAUCAGUCACACUGGAACUGAGACACGGUCCAGACUCCUACGGGAGGCAGCAGUGGGGAAUAUUGGACAAUGGGCGAAAGCCUGAUCCAGCCAUGCCGCGUGUGUGAAGAAGGUCUUCGGAUUGUAAAGCACUUUAAGUUGGGAGGAAGGGUUGUAGAUUAAUACUCUGCAAUUUUGACGUUACCGACAGAAUAAGCACCGGCUAACUCUGUGCCAGCAGCCGCGGUAAUACAGAGGGUGCAAGCGUUAAUCGGAAUUACUGGGCGUAAAGCGCGCGUAGGUGGUUUGUUAAGUUGGAUGUGAAAGCCCCGGGCUCAACCUGGGAACUGCAUUCAAAACUGACAAGCUAGAGUAUGGUAGAGGGUGGUGGAAUUUCCUGUGUAGCGGUGAAAUGCGUAGAUAUAGGAAGGAACACCAGUGGCGAAGGCGACCACCUGGACUGAUACUG